GGAGAGCGUUCUAAGGGCGGUGAAGUCAGACCGGAAGGACUGGUGGAGCGCUUAGAAGUGAGAAUGCCGGUAUGAGUAGCGAAAGAAGGGUGAGAAUCCCUUCCACCGAAUAUCUAAGGUUUCCUGAGGAAGGCUCGUCCGCUCAGGGUUAGUCGGGACCUAAGCCGAGGCCGAUAGGCGUAGGCGAUGGACAACAGGUAGAGAUUCCUGUACCAGUGCUAAUUGUUUAACCGAUGGGGUGACACAGAAGGAUAGGGAAUCGCACGAAUGGAAAUGUGCGUCCAAGCAGUGAGUGUGAGAAGUAGGCAAAUCCGCUUCUCGCGAAGCAUGAGCUGUGAUGGGGAAGGAAAUUAAGUACGGAAGUUCCUGAUUUCACGCUGUCAAGAAAAGCCUCUAGGAAGAGUAGUACUGCCCGUACCGCAAACCGACACAGGUAGAUGAGGAGAGAAUCCUAAGGUGAGCGAGAGAACUCUCGUUAAGGAACUCGGCAAAAUGACCCCGUAACUUCGGGAGAAGGGGUGCUCUAUUAGGGUGCAAGCCCGAGAGAGCCGCAGUGAAUAGGCCCAGGCGACUGUUUAGCAAAAACACAGGUCUCUGCAAAACCGUAAGGUGACGUAUAGGGGCUGACGCCUGCCCGGUGCUGGAAGGUUAAGAGGAGUGCUUAGCUUCGGCGAAGGUACGAAUUGAAGCCCCAGUAAACGGCGGCCGUAACUAUAACGGUCCUAAGGUAGCGAAAUUCCUUGUCGGGUAAGUUCCGACCCGCACGAAAGGCGCAACGAUCUGGGCACUGUCUCAACGAGAGACUCGGUGAAAUUAUAGUACCUGUGAAGAUGCAGGUUACCCGCGACAGGACGGAAAGACCCCGUGGAGCUUUACUGCAACCUGAUAUGGAAUGUUUGUACCGCUUGUACAGGAUAGGUAGGAGCCGAA
rnacentral:rRNA from 1 species